rnacentral:misc_RNA from 1 species
AAGUCGUAACAAGGUUUCCGUAGGUGAACCUGCGGAAGGAUCAUUAACACGUGUUUAUUCACGUACAACGAAAGUGAACUGUACCUCUUUGUCCUAUUGUCGUUUAAUGAGUGGUUGCGGGAGAAUGGUGCGAGGGUCGACCGGCUUCUAAACCGGUUGGCACCUCUUACUCGCGGCCUAUGGUCCAGUCUCACGACUGAGAUCAAGCUUGUGGCGGCAGUAGUAGAUUCGUUCUGAACUGUGAUCCAGCGCCUGGGCUUCACAGUUUGGGGCAACACUAUUUUAUUGCCCAUAACCUUUUUUAUCUGAUCUAAUUCUUGUUGAUAUUGGACGAUCUCCUGGUCGCGAGACUGGUCGACGGCUGUCUAAUGUUAACACAAAAAUAAAUACGAAACAACUCUUAGCAACGGAUAUCUUGGUUCUC